CCUACGGGCGGCUGCAGUGAGGAAUAUUGGUCAAUGGACGCAAGUCUGAACCAGCCAUGCCGCGUGCAGGAAGACGGCUCUAUGAGUUGUAAACUGCUUUUGUACGAGGGUAAACGCAGAUACGCGUCUCUGUCUGAAAGUAUCGUACGAAUAAGGAUCGGCUAACUCCGUGCCAGCAGCCGCGGUAAUACGGAGGAUUCAAGCGUUAUCCGGAUUUAUUGGGUUUAAAGGGUGCGUAGGCGGUCGGAUAAGUUAGAGGUGAAAUCCCGAGGCUCAACCUCGGAAUUGCCUCUGAUACUGUGCGGCUAGAGAGUAGUAGCGGUAGGCGGAAUGUAUGGUGUAGCGGUGAAAUGCUUAGAGAUCAUACAGAACACCGAUUGCGAAGGCAGCUUACCGGGCUACUUCUGACGUUGAGGCACGAAAGCGUGGGGAGCAAACAGGAUUAGAUACCCCAGUAGUC
rnacentral:rRNA from 1 species